UACGUAGGGGGCUAGCGUUGUCCGGAAUCAUUGGGCGUAAAGAGCGUGUAGGCGGCCCGGUAAGUCCGCUGUGAAAGUCGGGGGCUCAACCCUCGAAAGCCGGUGGAUACUGUCGGGCUAGAGUGCGGAAGAGGCGAGUGGAAUUCCUGGUGUAGCGGUGAAAUGCGCAGAUAUCGAGAGGAACACCUGCGGCGAAGGCGGGUUGCUGGGCCGACACUGACGCUGAUGCGCGAAAGCCAGGGGAGCGAACGGG
rnacentral:rRNA from 1 species